UUGAACGCUGGCGGUAUGCUUAACACAUGCAAGUCGAACGGAAACGAUACUAGCUUGCUAGUAGGCGUCGAGUGGCGGACGGGUGAGUAACGCGUAGGAAUCUGCCUGAUAGUGGGGGAUAGCCCGAAGAAAUUCGGAUUAAUACCGCAUAAUCUAUUCGUAGUAAAGUGGGGGACUUUCGAGCCUCACGCUAUCAGAUGAGCCUGCGUAAGAUUAGCUUGUUGGUAGGGUAAAAGCCUACCAAGGCGACGAUCUUUAGCUGGUCUGAGAGGAUGAUCAGCCACAUCGGGACUGAGACACGGCCCGAACUCCUACGGGAGGCAGCAGUGGGGAAUAUUGGACAAUGGGGGCAACCCUGAUCCAGCAAUGCCGCGUGUGUGAAGAAGGCCUGAGGGUUGUAAAGCACUUUCAAUUGUGAAGAAAAGUUAGCGGUUAAUAACCGUUAGCCUUGACGUUAACUUUAGAAGAAGCACCGGCUAACUCCGUGCCAGCAGCCGCGGUAAUACGGAGGGUGCAAGCGUUAAUCGGAAUUACUGGGCGUAAAGCGUGCGUAGGCGGUUUAUUAAGUCAGAUGUGAAAGCCCCGGGCUUAACCUGGGGAACUGCAUUUGAAACUGGUCAACUAGAGUAUGGUAGAGGAAAGUGGAAUUUCUGGUGUAGCGGUGAAAUGCGUAGAUAUCAGAAGGAACAUCAAUGGCGAAAGGCAGCUUUCUGGACCAAUACUGACGCUGAGGUACGAAAGCGUGGGUAGCAAACAGGAUUAGAUACCCUGGUAGUCCACGCCGUAAACGAUGAUAACUAGCCGUUGGGGGGAUUUACCCUUUAGUGGCGAAGCUAACGCGUUAAGUUAUCCGCCUGGGGAGUACGGCCGCAAGGUUAAAACUCAAAGGAAUCGACGGGGACCCGCACAAGCGGUGGAGCAUGUGGUUUAAUUCGAUGCAACGCGAAGAACCUUACCUGGUCUUGACAUCCUGCGAACUUUCUAGAAAUAGAUUGGUGCCUUCGGGAACGCAGUGACAGGUGCUGCAUGGCUGUCGUCAGCUCGUGUCGUGAGAUGUUGGGUUAAGUCCCGUAACGAGCGCAACCCCUAUCCUUAUUUGCCAGCACAUCAUGGUGGGAACUAUAAGGAGACUGCCGGUGAUAAACCGGAGGAAGGCGGGGACGACGUCAAGUCAUCAUGGCCCUUACGACCAGGGCUACACACGUGCUACAAUGGGAAGGACAAAGAGCCGCGAAGCCGCGAGGUGUAGCUAAUCUCAUAAACCUUUUCGUAGUCCGGAUUGGAGUCUGCAACUCGACUCCAUGAAGUCGGAAUCGCUAGUAAUCGUAGAUCAGAAUGCUACGGUGAAUACGUUCCCGGGUCUUGCACACACCGCCC
rnacentral:rRNA from 1 species